CGCGGCCUAUCAGCUUGUUGGUGAGGUAACGGCUCACCAAGGCAUCGACGGGUAGCUGGUCUGAGAGGAUGAUCAGCCACACUGGGACUGAGACACGGCCCAGACUCCUACGGGAGGCAGCAGUGGGGAAUAUUGCACAAUGGGCGCAAGCCUGAUGCAGCAACGCCGCGUGCGGGAUGAAGGCCCUAGGGUUGUAAACCGCUUUCAGCAGGGAAGAAACUGACGGUACCUGCAGAAGAAGGUGCGGCCAACUACGUGCCAGCAGCCGCGGUGACACGUAGGCACCAAGCGUUGUCCGGAUUUAUUGGGCGUAAAGAGCUCGUAGGCGGUUCAGUUAGUCGGGUGUGAAAACUCUGGGCUCAACCCAGAGACGCCACCCGAUACUGCUGUGACUAGAGUACGGUAGGGGAGCGGGGAAUUCCUGGUGUAGCGGUGAAAUGCGCAGAUAUCAGGAGGAACACCAGUGGCGAAGGCGCCGCUCUGGGCCGUAACUGACGCUGAGGAGCGAAAGCAUGGGUAGCAAACAGGAUUAGAUACCCUGGUAGUCCAUGCCGUAAACGUUGGGCACUAGGUGUGGGUCUCAACCAACGAGAUCCGCGCCGUCGCUAACGCAUUAAGUGCCCCGCCUGGGGAGUACGG
rnacentral:rRNA from 1 species